CGUAUAUGCCACGUCAGAGUAUAAGCCGCAGUGUUUAAAGCGUGGGAAAAAAGUAGCGGCUUAUAGUCCGAAAUUUACGGUAUAUCUACACUUUUUUUCCCAGGGAACCUUGGGACUUCACCUCUCUAUGUUAGCAAUAAACAUUAGAAUUUUUGACCAUCAGUCUCAAAAGCUGCUGAUCAUCCAUAUUAGGUUUGUUGUUUUAGUCCAAUUAUUGUCCGAUUAUGGGGUGAAGACGGAACAGAAGUUGCUAUUAUCAGAUCCAGCCGUUGGUUAUGGUAAAGAGUGAGGUACACCCUGGUGACAUCUACUUGUAUGCAUGGUUUUGUUAAAGGAAGUGUGGUUUUAACCUAGAAAAUAAUACAUCGACCAUGAUCCGAUGAACAAAUAUUGUAUUUUAAAUUACUAUUGUACUAACUGAAAGGAUAACUCAUUAAAUGCAAAUGAAUGUUUCUGAAGUACUGGCACUCCAGCAUGAAUAUGACUCACUAAACAGCCAGUGGCUUAUAUCAUAAAACUGGGAAAAAAAAAACACCCAAAUGUGCAUUUUACCCUUCAGUUUCAAAGAUAACCUGGGGCUACAACUGUAACACGACUUACAUAAUAUGCAUCACAUUAAAUGAUAAUGUCUAGGCUUGUGUGGUUGCCAAAAAGAACAGAAAAAAAACA